UACAGAGGGGGCAAGCGUUAUUCGGAAUUAUUGGGCGUAAAGGGCGCGUAGGCGGCUUGGCAAGUGGAAGGUGAAAUCCCUCGGCUUAACCGAGGAACUGCCCUCCAAACUGCUUCGCUUGAGACCGGGAGAGGUGAGUGGAAUUCCCAGUGUAGCGGUGAAAUGCGUAGAUAUUGGGAGGAACACCAGUGGCGAAGGCGGCUCACUGGACCGGUACUGACGCUGAUGCGCGAAAGCGUGGGGAGCAAACAGGGAUUAAGAAACCCC
rnacentral:rRNA from 1 species